rnacentral:lncRNA from 1 species
GUGCAGUCAGCCUCAGUUUCCAAAGCCGGAAAAGGAUCCUCUAGUAGCCACGGUGUGGCAGCUGCUCUGAACCAGGACCUGGACCCGGACCCAAAGUGCCAUGUCUUUAAUGUGUGUUAGCUCCCAGCGAUGCCAGAUGGGAUCAGCACAGCCCUGCCUCUGCUGCUAAUUGUUCCUCUAAAGUAAUCGCCAUGCGUUCUUUGGGCUUCACCUUUAAAGGAAUGAAGCAACUGAGAUUAUUCUGGAAAACCUUUUGGCAGUUAGUGAAAUUAGAGUACAACUAAGAACAUUUUCAGACCUCCACUGUGGAUGACCUGGGUAUAAUCUCACAAAUCGAUGGGACUGCAAGGAUUGUAAACUGAAAUGAACAUGAUUAUACUCUGUUGGAAGAGCCUAAGAGGAAACUGAUGCCAUGAGUUUCAGAGAGUAAUGCUUAACCCCAGUUACACAGGAUGCCAUCUUGUGUUUCCUCUUGUUUAGUUACCCACUACAGUGAUUUUGUGAUCUGCUAAUGG